AGGUAAAUGUCAAAACUUUCAAAAUCCAGACGUCUACAACUAAGCUUUUGCCCAAAACGAUGAUUAAAAAAAACAAAACAUGUCCAUUUUCCAAUUUGAUGUUUGGUAGUCCCUCAAACAAUUCCUAAUAAAUCUAAACAAUAGCACAAGACAUGGUAUUGAGCUUCUCGUGCUUCACUAUUCCCAGCCAGUGGCAGCAGGAGCAGGAGCUACUGAUUGGGGUGGCGGUGCUGCUGCGUCCCAUUCAUUAGAGAAUCCACCUAAAGUUGAAUAAACACAGAAAUGGUGUUAGGAAAAAAAAAAUCUGCCACUAACAACUGUACAACAAAUGUAUCUUAGUAUCCGCGCACUUGUAGCAUUUAGUUAUGCUAGCAAAUAGUAAUACGAAGCUUAAAAAGUACUCUUAAAAAAUUUUAUAUGGCAAAAUAGUUUCGAAAGCACAACAGGAGCAGAUGAAAAUGAGGGCGGUUCAAUAGUGUUUGAAUAACUUACUACCCUGCUCUGGAUAUGAGUUGGAAGCAGGAACAGCAGAAAUAGGUGGUGGAGCUGCUUCAGCAGUCCACUGGCCAUCAGCAAUUUGAGCAUCCCAAUCAGUAUUAGAAAGCCCAUAAUGAGUAGAAGGGAGUGCAUAAUCAGUAACUGGU
rnacentral:misc_RNA from 1 species